rnacentral:rRNA from 1 species
AUUGAACGCUGGCGGCAUGCCUUACACAUGCAAGUCGAACGGCAUCGCGGGAAAGCUUGCUUUCCUGGCGGCGAGUGGCGAACGGGUGAGUAACACAUCGGAACGUACCGGCUAGUGGGGGAUAACCCGUCGAAAGACGGGCUAAUACCGCAUACGCUCUUCGGAGGAAAGCAGGGGACCUUUGGGCCUUGCGCUAGCCGAGCGGCCGAUGUCCGAUUAGCUAGUUGGUGGGGUAAAGGCCUACCAAGGCGACGAUCGGUAGCGGGUCUGAGAGGACGAUCCGACACACUGGGACUGAGACACGGCCCAGACUCCUACGGGAGGCAGCAGUGGGGAAUCUUGGACAAUGGGGGCAACCCUGAUCCAGCAAUGCCGCGUGGGUGAAGAAGGCCUUCGGGUUGGAAAGCCCUUUCGGCAGGGAAGAAAUCGGCGGGGCGAAUAACCCUGCUGGAUGACGGUACCUGCAGAAGAAGCACCGGCUAACUACGUG